GGCUUAGAAGCAGCCAUCAUUUAAAGAAAGCGUAAUAGCUCACUGGUCGAGUCGGCCUGCGCGGAAGAUGUAACGGGGCUAAACCAUGCACCGAAGCUGCGGCAGCGACACUGUGUGUUGUUGGGUAGGGGAGCGUUCUGUAAGCCUGUGAAGGUGUGUCGUGAGGCAUGCUGGAGGUAUCAGAAGUGCGAAUGCUGACAUAAGUAACGAUAAAGCGGGUGAAAAGCCCGCUCGCCGGAAGACCAAGGGUUCCUGUCCAACGUUAAUCGGGGCAGGGUGAGUCGACCCCUAAGGCGAGGCCGAAAGGCGUAGUCGAUGGGAAACGGGUUAAUAUUCCCGUACUUGGUGUUACUGCGAAGGGGGGACGGAGAAGGCUAUGUUGGCCGGGCGACGGUUGUCCCGGUUUAAGCGUGUAGGUGUGUGUUCCAGGUAAAUCCGGUUCACUUUAACACUGAGGCGUGACGACGAGGCACUACGGUGCUGAAGCAACAAAUGCCCUGCUUCCAGGAAAAGCCUCUAAGCAUCAGGUAACAUCAAAUCGUACCCCAAACCGACACAGGUGGUCAGGUAGAGAAUACCAAGGCGCUUGAGAGAACUCGGGUGAAGGAACUAGGCAAAAUGGUGCCGUAACUUCGGGAGAAGGCACGCUGACACGUAGGUGAAGUGAUUUACUCAUGGAGCUGAAGUCAGUCGAAGAUACCAGCUGGCUGCAACUGUUUAUUAAAAACACAGCACUGUGCAAACACGAAAGUGGACGUAUACGGUGUGACGCCUGCCCGGUGCCGGAAGGUUAAUUGAUGGGGUCAGCGCAAGCGAAGCUCCUGAUCGAAGCCCCGGUAAACGGCGGCCGUAACUAUAACGGUCCUAAGGUAGCGAAAUUCCUUGUCGGGUAAGUUCCGACCUGCACGAAUGGCGUAAUGAUGGCCAGGCUGUCUCCACCCGAGACUCAGUGAAAUUGAACUCGCUGUGAAGAUGCAGUGUACCCGCGGCAAGACGGAAAGACCCCGUGAACCUUUACUAUAGCUUGACACUGAACAUUGAGCCUUGAUGUGUAGGAUAGGUGGGAGGCUUUGAAGUGUGGACGCCAGUCUGCAUGGAGCCGACCUUGAAAUACCACCCUUUAAUGUUUGAUGUUCUAACGUGGACCCGUUACCCGGGUUGCGGACAGUGUCUGGUGGGUAGUUUGACUGGGGCGGUCUCCUCC
rnacentral:rRNA from 1 species